GAUAAACGCUGGCGGCGUGCAUAACACAUGCAAGUCGAACGAUGAAACUUAAAUGAUCUCUUCGGAGUGACUUUAAGUGGAUUAGUGGCGGACGGGUGAGUAACGCGUGAGUAACCUGCCUUGCACAAGGGGAUAGCCGUUGGAAACGACGAAUAAUACCCUAUGAUAUGAUAGUCUCGCAUGAGAUUAUCAUCAAAGAUUUAUCGGUGUAAGAUGGACUCGCGUCUGAUUAGCUAGUUGGUGGGGUAAC
rnacentral:rRNA from 1 species